rnacentral:rRNA from 1 species
AUUAGCUAGAUGGUAGGGUAACGGCCUACCAUGGCUACGAUGUCUAGGGGUUCUGAGAGGAAGAUCCCCCACACUGGAACUGAGACACGGUCCAGACUCCUACGGGAGGCAGCAGUGAGGAAUAUUGGACAAUGGAUGGAAAUCUGAUCCAGCCAUGCCGCGUGCAGGAUGACGGCCCUAUGGGUUGUAAACUGCUUUUGUAUGGGAGCAAUAAGCCCUUCGUGAAGGGUGAUGAGAGUACCAUACGAAUAAGCAUCGGCUAACUCCGUGCCAGCAGCCGCGGUAAUACGGAGGAUGCAAGCGUUAUCCGGAUUUAUUGGGUUUAAAGGGUGCGUAGGCGGUUGGAUAAGUCAGCGGUGAAAGUUUUCUGCUUAACAGGAAAAAUGCCGUUGAUACUGUCUGGCUAGAAUAUGGUUGCUGUGAGUGGAAUGUGUGGUGUAGCGGUGAAAUGCUUAGAUAUCACACAGAAUAUCGAUUGCGAAGGCAGCUCACAAAGCCAUUAUUGACGCUGAGGCACGAAAGUGUGGGGAUCAAACAGGAUUAGAUACCCUGGUAGUCCACACUGUAAAC